UAUGGAUUUUAUAAAAACAUAUGCUAACAAAAGUAAAAUAACUUUUCAAUUUGAUAAUUGUCCUACCAAUGCACAGUUAUGGGCUAGUUUGUACAAACAAUAUGAGCUAGAAAACAUGAAAUUGGAUAAGAAAUUGUUUUGUAUAGAUAAACUUAAGAAGAAAAUGCAAAAUGCCCUAAGCAUGUUUAAAACAUUUAAUGAAUUGAUUAUGGAGGAUUUACAGCCUAGAAAAAGUAUUUGCAUGAUCAACAAAGUUGUACCAGAAUCUAACCCUGAUGACAGUACUGACGACUUUAACAGCUGUCCCGACUGUUUUGUUUUAGCUCAGCAAUUAGAGAACUUGGAGAGAGAUAUGGACAGACAAACUAAUGACUGUCACAAGCCAUUAACUAAUCCUACUAAUUCUGAAUAAGUUGAUACUACUAACCAAAGGUUGAUAUAGGAGUUUAAUUAAGUGUGAUUAACAAAGCAUUACCCAUGACAUCUAACUCACCUGUUUGCAUAAGUGUAGGUUUUAGUGGUAAAGGUAAUACUUCAGCAACUUUGAUUACUGGUGUUUUGUUUGAGAUUCCUGGCUAUUUGUGUACUGAAAUUGAUAUCUGGCAUUGUCCUAGCUCAGAAAAUAUCUUAGGAGCUGAUGUAAUGAGAGAACGAGGUUGGGUCAUUGACUUAGGGAAUCAAGUGAUUUGGAGAAAUAAUAACCUUAAAGGGCCUGUAGUAAUAGAUCCAAGUGACUACAGUGUAGUGGCCGUCAUCAAUUUAAUUGAGGAGGUAUCCCCAAAUCAUGUUUGGCCACAAAUGCAUUUUAAUGACUUGACUCUUGUAGAAAUUGUGCAGAAACAUCCCUCGUUAUAGGCUCAGUCUAAGAAUGAGGUAGGGACGAUGAAAGAUGUUGUUGUUAAAGUGGAAGGAACAGAUCCCAUAGCUCAGAAACAGUACUGAUUGCCUCCAGAUUCAAUUGAGCCUUUGUCCAAAAUUAUUGAAGAACUACUUUCAACAAAGCGUCAUACGCAAAUUAAAUUUGGUGACAAAUUAUCCGUUAUGGGCCGUUAAGAAAUCAGAUAAUUCUUAUAGAAUGCUUCUAGAUCUGCGUAUGUUUAAUAAAUGUACCCCAAAUGUGGCGCCAAUUGUAGCAGAUACCCCUGACAUCAUGUCUCGAUUGAAUGCUAAUGCUAAAAAGUUUUUCUUGGUAUUAGAUAUCAGUAAUGGUUUUUUCAGUAUUCAGAUAGAGUUGUCAAUACAAAUUUGCUUUUACUUUUCUGAAUGAGCAAUAUGUAUUUUGCAGAUUACCACAGGGGGCGCACAUGUCACCUAGUCUGUUUCAUCAGGCAUUGGCAAAAGUGUUAUCAAAAUUCUCAAGGCAAGAUUGUAUUCUACAGUAUGUUGAUGAUAUCUUGUUGGCAACAGAGACUAGAGAGGAACAUCUCACCUUGCUAGCAGAAUUGUUUAAUCUGUUGUAUGAGUCAGGAUUGAAAUUAAAUCCAAGGAAGGUCCAAUUACUGUAACAAGAUUCAGUACUUGCGAGUUUUGAUAAGUCCAAAUCACAUGUGUGUUGAGAUAUUUCAGGGGGAUUAUCCAUCUCUUUUUAGAAAAGAAGUAGAGGAAACUGAUGAACCUGUAUUUGUAGAUUGUUCUAGAUUUUGCUUGAAAGGAUGAGCUAUUCAGUAUAGACUACCAGGACAUUUUUCUGCCCAGACAGCAGAAAUUGAAGCAAUGAUCCUUUGGUAAUCUAUAGCGAUAGUUCAUAUGUCGUAUGUUCACUAACAGACUACUUACCUGUGUGGAAAAAACAAGGUUUUGUGGAUUCAUCUAACAAAAUCUUAAAUCAUGUUGAUACAUUGCAGACUAUCUUUGAGCUUGCUCCUAAAAAUCCUAACCGAUAUGCUAUUGUCAAGGUACCGGGCCAUAGCAGAGGGACUAGUGAUUUAGCUUUGAGAAAUGAGAAAGCAGAUUCUCUAGUAAAGGAAGCAGCUUUGACAGAAGAAAUAGUGAUGGAACUGGAACCGUUGGAAGUACUACCAGUAAAGAGUAAGGAAGCAAAUUUACCUUCAUUCAUCGAUAAAGAUGAAAGAUGCGUUCAUUAUAGAACGUAGGAAUAAAAUAACACCUCCCUUUAUUUGUGAAAAUGGAGUGGUAUGUUAUAAGAUGCAAGGUAAUUUACUUCUAGUUGUGCCUAAACACUUGCAGACGGAAUUCACCCGCUAUAAGAUGUAAAGAUUAGGUCAUGUGGGUUAGCAAAAGUUGCUGGAAAACUUCAAAGAGAAGUUUUUUUGGGACAAAAAGGUGGACUCUGUACAAAAUGUUGUUCAGUCAUAUCUUAUUUGUGCUCAAGUAAACCCCAGGCCUAAAGGACAAAAGUCUCCACUUCUAAGAAUUGCACCUGCAGAUGGUUCGUGGUCUAUACUGCAGAUUGACUACAUAGGUCUCCUACUUCAGGUAACCAAGGUCUCAGGUAUGCAUUGGUUGUGGUAAAUGUAUUUUCUAAGUGGGUAGAAUUGUAGCCUGUCAGGAAUGAUGAUGCUUUGUCUAUGGCAAAAGCAUUAAGGAAUCAUGUUUAUACUUGGGGAGACCCAAGGAUGAUUGCUUCUGACAGAAGGAGCCAUUUUACUGGCAAUGUCAUGCAGGCUGUUUGCGCAAUCCUGGGGGUACGUGAACAAUUCCAUGUUCCAUACUAUCCUUAGUCCGCAGGUAUUGUAGAAAGAAUGAACAGAAAGAUUAAGUCUAGAAUUGCAAAAAUGUUACUUGAUAAAGGAAAUAGUUGGGUUGAUGCAGUACCUCUAGUAUUGACGAGUAUUAGGGGAACGAGCUCCUCAACUACCCAGUAUACACCUUUUGAAUUAAUGACAGGAAGGAAAAUGCCAUUGAUCUUUCCUCAUGAAACGUUUUUGUCUACUCCACCGAAAGAUGCCAUUGCAAGAACUAAGUGGUUACAGGAACACAGUUCUGCAAGAAAAUGGAGAAACAAAGCAGUUAACUAUUGGAAGGAGAGCAUUCUGAGAAACAGCAAUACAAGAAUCGUGACAUCAAGAUAGCAUAGUUUUUUGAUAGCUGUGUUGUUUGAUCUGUACCAGAAGCCAAUUGGAAUUGAUGAUCCGACAAAGGAUUUACCACAGGAGACAUUGUUAUCACAUAAAAUAAGAGAAGUUCGAGUGGAUCAACUCCUGACAUCGGACAUUGAUACAUCAAGAGACAUUGUUGGACGAAUUAGAUUAAUUAUAAUUUAAGAUAUACAGAUUUUGUAUUUGAUGGGGAAAAUCUGGAACAAUUAGAAGCUUCAGCUUGUCUUCAUUUUGUUUCCAAAGUAAUAUGUCUUCCAGGGCAAGAAAAGGUUGUCUAUCAUUUAUCAUGUGAGGCCAGGAUUGAAAGUGUUACAUCUAUGCAUGAAUUAAUGACUCAAGUAAAAGGAGGGAAAGUUUGUUUUCAGGUAAUGAAGGAAGAGUCAUUGGUCAGAGCAUUCUUUUCAAAUUGUAUGCAUAAUGAAACUCUUCACAGAGGAUUAUAUUGCAUAGAAGGAGAAUUGAAAAAGUUGGAGAUAGAUGGGAAAAAGUUUAAUGUCUCCACUAUGGGCAUAGAGCGUUUAAAAAUACUACCUCUGCAAUUUAAUCUCACACAGAUAGACCAUUUUCAUUGGAAAACAUGGACUGAGGAAAUAAAGAAAGAUAAGGGAUUAUUGGCCAUAUUAAAGCAACAAUUGAAAGAUGCAGAAAUUGUUUUCCUACAUAAACAAGGAGAAUUAGAACAAAUUCAACAUCAAUGGAAUGAUAUGUCUGGAGUUAGUUGGUGGUCAAAUUUUAAAAAAUCAGUAAAUAUGUGGUCACAAUCUUCGGUAAAAUCCGCAGCUGGGAAUAUAUUGUCAAAUCAAAUUGUUAUUAUAGCUAUACUUGUUUUAUUAUGUAUUGACUAUCAAAGUUUUCUUAUGUGUAGUGUAGUGUAUGUGUAGUAAGAUGUAUAAACAAGUUAGGAAGUAGAUGAGGGAGAUGGAAUAUUAAGGGAAUUGAUAAAAAGAGCGCAAUCUUCUCAUUCCAUAACAAACGUAGAGAAAAGGGUGUCUCAUGCUAAUGAUUAUCAUAUGGUCCCAGGUAAAGUGUGAUGUGAUUGUAGUAUAAAUGUGAUACAAAUGUGAUAUGAAUGGUGAGUAAAUGUGUAUAUUGGAAAAUAUAUGAUAAGGAUAUUAUCCUAUCAUCAGGGGGAAUUGUAAAAUAUUCUAAUACAUUUUCUAACCUCAAUUAAGAAAUGGACCAUAUAUAAUUAUUAGUAUAGGCAAUAGUCAAAGAUAUGUAAUUAUUGGGCAUAAAUAAAUGAUAAUUAAGAUAUAUUAAUGUUUCAAUGGUAGGUUUCAAGGUUUCCUUGACCUUAAUUAUGGAAUGAAGGAUUUGCUGAACAUGCAGUCUAUAGAUAGGAUAGUAGCUUGCUAAUGCAUGGUAUAGUUGUAACUCUAAAUGGGCAUUACAAUAUACGUACAGCGACCACCUAAAAUAGGGUUUGGGCGUGUAAGACCUAAGUGAACAUGUUUGAACACCUAAUUAGGUGAAGACCAAUAGACUGACAUCAUUUUCAAAUGGUAUAUAAGCUAGGCCUGUGUAAGACAUGGAGAGGCAUGGGAAGAGAGGUCGAGUGAAGAUGUACUUGCCAUCCACAGACUCUUCACGUCCCAACACUCCCUCCCUCCAUCCUCAGGAAUGCAUAAGACAGAUGUCAUGAACUAAAUUCCUUUCCAAGGUUUUGUAAGACUUGUUUCGUAUUUUUGUUAUCUUCUUUUUAUAUUCUUCGUCUAUUUUUGUUCGUAUUAAAUGUUUCACCUUCGUUUGCA